rnacentral:tRNA from 1 species
UCCCUGAUGGCUCAGCUGGUAAAGAAUCUGCCUGCAAUGCAGGAGACCUGGGUUUGAUCCCUGGUUUGGGAA